AAUUAAUUGUACCAAGCACAUGACUAUGGAUCAAAGCUUACAUUGUAACUAUUUGCUCUUCCUAGAUAUGUCACAUCACACACGCACAUAAUAAAGGGGAGUCACAUUGUCCGUUAACAGACAAAUAGUAAAUAAUUCACAGUAGAGAGAGAUGGGACCCAAAACUAUAUUAGUUGUGUUCUUAAUACUGGCUUUAAACUCUGGAAUAGUUUUCACUGAACCAGAUCAGACGCAAGUCGCCCAAGCUAGUAAUGAAAAACCCAAAAUUGAUGGUUCAAGAAGAGGUGGAUUUCUUUUUGUGGGAGCGAGGCCCCGCUUUAGACCGCGUCGACCAAUUCCCUAGAGAAAUGCAGGACUGAGGACUGGUCUUUUAGGGAAAAAAAAUUACUAUUAGACAUCUUUUGGGUUUUUCAGCAUA